rnacentral:rRNA from 1 species
ANGUGGNUUAAUUCGAUGCAACGCGAAGAACCUUACCUACUCUUGACAUCUAGAGAAUCCAGCGGAGACGCAGGAGUGCCUUCGGGAACUCUAAGACAGGUGCUGCAUGGCUGUCGUCAGCUCGUGUUGUGAAAUGUUGGGUUAAGUCCCGCAACGAGCGCAACCCUUAUCCUUGUUUGCCAGCGAGUAAUGUCGGGAACUCCAGGGAGACUGCCGGUGAUAAACCGGAGGAAGGUGGGGACGACGUCAAGUCAUCAUGGCCCUUACGAGUAGGGCUACACACGUGCUACAAUGGCGCAUACAGAGGGCAGCAAGCUAGCGAUAGUGAGCGAAUCCCAAAAAGUGCGUCGUAGUCCGGAUUGGAGUCUGCAACUCGACUCCANGAAGUCGGANUCGC